UCAUUCAGGUACUCUUUAGGAGUCUUCUUCUCCCUCAAACAAGAUGGUUAUGAUUGAACUACAAAUUGGUAUAAAUGUGUUUAAUUCCCCAACAUUCUUGGCAUUGCUGGACAGGUUGGAGCGCAAACAGAGACAAAACUAAAAGAGAAGAAGUUGAGAGUAGAAGAUGCUCUUAAUGCAACCAAGGCAGCAGUUGAGGAGGGUAUUGUGGUUAGGGGUGGUUGUAUGCUGUUGAGACUCGUAUCAAAGGGGGAUUCCAUCAAAGAUACUCUUGAAAAUGAUGAGCAGAAGGUUAGAGCAGAGAUUGUUAGGAGGGCUUUGAGCUAUCCUCUUAAGUUGAUUGCCAAAAAUGCAGGUGUCAAUGGAAGUGUGGUCACUAAGAAGGUGCUU